CGCAUCAGUCCCAUGCUUCAGACCCAUCUAUCUUUGGUCUUUCAAGUUAAACCCAAAGCAACAUCCAUCAUCUGCAUUUCUUCACUUUUGUGUCCCAUUCCUUCCAGGAUGCCUUCUUCCUUUCCCCCCUGCCCCCCAGGCCCACUCUGGUGGAGUGGGAAAGUCCAGUGCUUUGAUACCAGGUCAUGGAGAAUAUCUUUGAUUUUCCCUGCAGCUGCAUCGGAAGUCACCAGCUUUGGAGAAGCCAUGGAAAGAUCCACCCCAGAAGAAAAAGUCUAUUGAUGAAUCAUUUAAAAAUGAAUAAACAGAAGUCCCCUACACAGCCCAUCAAAUAUUA